GAUGGGGAGAAUCUUUACUGGAGCAACUGCCUUGGAUUUUUAUCAGGUUGUCCUGGAAAGGAAUAUCAAAGCAAUGAAAUAUACCAAUAUUUUGCCUGUCAAAGCAUCAAUGCAGAGCACAAUUGCUAUCUUGCUGAAUCAUCAUGUCCUAAUAUCACAUUGAACACUACUUCAAACAACACCACACUGAACUUGCAACCAACAACACCCUUUCCAGAAACAUCAUCCCAUGUAGCAGAGAUUGUGGGUAGUGUUGCUGCCUUUCUGUUAGUACUUGCUGUUAUUUUGAUAUUAGCUGUUUUUCUAUGGAGAAGAAAAAGGAGUCAGAAAACUGGGACACAAGAACUUGGUAUUCGAUAUGAAGAUGUUGAAGUUAAAGAGUUGUUGCUAGAAAAGGAGGAUGCAACCCUGGGUAAUUAUUCGGGAAUAUUAU